UACGGAGGGGGCUAGCGUUGUUCGGAAUUACUGGGCGUAAAGCGCGCGUAGGCGGACUUUUAAGUCGGGGGUGAAAUCCCGGGGCUCAACCCCGGAACUGCCUUCGAUACUGGGAGUCUGGAGUUCGAGAGAGGUGAGUGGAAUUCCGAGUGUAGAGGUGAAAUUCGUAGAUAUUCGGAAGAACACCAGUGGCGAAGGCGGCUCACUGGCCCGGUACUGACGCUGAGGUGCGAAAGCGUGGGGAGCAAACAGG
rnacentral:rRNA from 1 species